GACGAACGCUGGCGGCGUGCCUAACACAUGCAAGUCGAGCGGGGACUUAAUCAUGAAGUUUUCGGAUGGAUUGGUUAAGUUCUAGCGGCGGACGGGUGAGUAACGCGUGAGCAACCUGCCUAUCACUGGGGAAUAACGCAGCGAAAGUUGUGCUAAUACCGCAUGAGACCACAGAGGGACAUCCCUUAGGGGUCAAAGAUUUUAUCGGUGAUAGAUGGGCUCGCGUCUGAUUAGCUAGUUGGUGAGGUAACGGCCCACCAAGGCGACGACCACUAGCGGAACUGAGAGGGUGGUCGGCCACAUUGGAACGGAGAAACGGUCCAAACGCCGACGGGAGACAGCAGUGGGGAAGAUUGGGCAAGGGGCGCGAGCCUGACCCAGCAACGCCGCGGGAAGGAAGAAGGUCUUCGGAUCGUAAACUUCUAUCCUGGGUGAAGAUAAUGACGGUAGCCGAGAAGGAAGCCCCGGCUAACUACGUGCCAGCAGCCGCGGUAACAC
rnacentral:rRNA from 1 species